UCUUCGGGUCAAACGACAAACGACGUCGUCGCCAUUGAUGCUAAAGCCCAAAACGGUGUCGUUUUGUAUCUAAUAUAAAUAACAAAAGAAAAAAGAAAAAGAAAACAGUUUUUACUUCAUUUUUCAGAAAAAAAGAAAAAAGAACAGAGAGCUCAGCCUCUCUCUCUCUCGCAGGCUUCAAGCUCGGGCCAAAGGGUCGCCGCCGUGACUCUGCCGUAAGCGGUGGUCCGAGCUGCACGGAGAACGCAUUUUCGGCCCGUUUUUAAAACGCCUGAAGGCCUAAGCCUCUGGGUUUUGAGGCCGAAAGAAGGAGAAACCCCCAUGCCCCUCUCACGUCCCGAUUUCGACGACCGAAAUGGCCGGCGAAGGGCCCUUCAGGCGACCCCAGGUGUUGGAGCAGGUGGGCAGAGACGCGGCACUAGUCAGAGGCUAGGGUGCGGCGACGGUGGCAGAAGGUCAAGGGUCGGAAGACCCUAGGUGCGGCGCACCUAGGGUUAGGUUUAGUUGUUUGUUUCUGCUGAUAGUAGGCUUGUUGGGCCAAAUUGGGCUAGGUCAAAAUACGUCAGUAUUUGGGCUUGGCAAUUGCAAUUGGGUUCUGGGUUUUGGGCAGUGUUGGGCUUGUUUUUGAUUUGGAUCGUAUCAGGCCCGUUGUAACCUGGACUUAUGGACUGUUUUUUUAUCUCUGGUAUGGUUUGGUUCAUUUGGUGCGGGCCCGGGCAAAAAUGGCCUAUUACAAAUAUUAUUGAUUCAAUAAUUAUAAUUAUUUUUAAAUUUUA